CUCUACGGAAGCAGGCGCAUUGCCUUCUGGGUGAUGUAGUUUUCCCGCGCAGUCCAUCCAGGCCGUGACCUUGGCAAUGGAUGACCCAGCUUCCUGAGAAUGAAAGUAAAACUCCUCAUGCACAACCUCACCUCCUCUUGCUGUUGCCUUUACACAAAACAGACCUGGGUUUGCUGAAUCCUCUCAGCUCAGCCACACCACCGCGUCCUCACACAGGGGCACUGCAGCCCGCCCCCCUCCCCCCAUCACAGGGUCUAUCACCCACAAGGACUCACUGUUCCGGACACUGUGACGUCGGCUGCAGGACCAGACACAGGCCAGCACCGUCGGAUGGAGGAUUACGUGAAGCUCAGAAUGCUCCUCAGGGUGAAAAGUGUUAUUUCUAUUAUUCCUGGACUCUACAAACCGAAAUGGAGAUUUUUAAUUUAUUAUUUAGAGAGAGGAAAUGAGAUGGAAACACUGAUUGCCUGCUUCCUGCACUCUCCCCCUGCCUCCCUCAAUGGCAUCUACCAGGAAAUUGGCUUGGGCCCUCAACAGGAUACGAACUGGAAACCUUUCAGUGCAUGAGAUGACACUCACUCAAUGGAUCCACUCCAGCUGCCAGAGCUUUAAUUUUAAUUUACAAAUUUCACACUUUUAUGAGAAAAAGUAGGCUGAGAACAUACAUAACCCUAUCCUAUACAUGUAAAAACAUUUAAAAGGAUACAAAGACCAACAAGUCGACAUUUCCUACAUUGUUUGCAUGUCUGCAGUCAGUACACAUUGUGAAGCUAAGGAGCAAACAGUUACUGAAUGCUCACUACACGUGCCAGGCACUGGAUUCAAUGCGUUCAAGAAUUAUUUCAUUUAGCCCUGACCGGUUUGGCUCAGUGGAUGGAGCGUUGGCCUGCGGACUGAAGGGUCCCAGGUUCGAUUCUGGUCAAGGGCAUGUGCCUUGGUCUUGGGCACAUCCCCAGUGGGAGGUGUGCAGGAGGCAGCUGAUCGAUGUUUCUAGAUCUCUGUCCCUCUCCCUUCCUCUCUGUAAACAAUGCAUUUAAAAAAAUUAUUUCAUUUAAUCCUCUCCACAACUUGAGAUGGCUUAACCAUCUAUUUCCUAGGGAGGAAACCAGGCUCAGAGACUCAAUGUAAAUUGCCUGGUGGUAGAGUCAAUAAAAGGCAGGGCUGGAAGACAAACACACAGGUGUCUAAUAACAGGGUUGUAUUUUGGCCCAUGAGCAUAGAGCUUUGGCUGAAGGAGUUCCCACCAUCACUACCCUCAUAUGGCUUUAUUCCAGUGUGAACCCUCUGAUGAUGUGUGAGAGCAGAGGUUUGCCUGUAUGACUUCCCAGUAUCACUACGCUCAUAAGAUACACUCUGCUCAGAACAGGCCUCCGCAUCAUCCGUUUUAUGCCAACAACCUGAAAACAGAAAGAUGGUGAUGAAAUGAAUGUCGACUGUGGUGACAGGGAGAAGUGUCAUUACAAAAGUGUAUUGCCCAUAACAUGUUGGUUCCAUGCAAAUGUCUGAGGGUAACAUAUCUGAAGGAAAUAUUGCUAAGAUGCUGCUGUGAUACUCUGAGCCACUGAAGAUUACCAUACUGAGAAAAUGUCCAAAAAAAUAUGAAACUAACAUGGCAGGCACCACAUGGAACAGAAGCUGGAUCAUCUGCUCAUGUGUCUGCUAACAGUGUUCAACAGGGCUUGUCUGCUGGUGACAUGGGCCAGCUGUGCAGAAGGUUGCUUACAUCUUAUUUCAAGUAAAAUUCAAGAAACGAGAA